GGAUUAGAUACCCUGGUAGUCCUAGCUGUAAACGAUGGAGACUAGGUGUAGCACGUAUCGACCCGUGCUGUAUCGGAGCCAACGCGUUAAGUCUCCCGCCUGGGGAGUACGCGCGCAAGCGUGAAACUCAAAGGAAUUGACGGGGGCCCGCACAAGCGGUGGAGUAUGUGGUUUAAUUCGAUGCAACGCGAACAACCUUACCAGGGCUUGACAUGUCGCGAAUCUCCGGGAAACCGGAGAGUGCCUAAGGGAGCGCGAACACAGGUGGUGCAUGGCUGUCGUCAGCUCGUGCCG
rnacentral:rRNA from 1 species